CGGAGGCACCAUGGGAAUGCAGCCUGCUAAUCCAUUCACCUUUUUUUAUGCAGGUGCUCGUUCUUGGUUUGACCGGAGCGACGUAUCACCGAAACAGUUAUUCUACCGGAUCUUCAAGCUGCCAAAAUGUGCCUGUUGCUUCCACGUGUUUUCUCAACACGUCAGCAACGAUGGAGAGUUAUCACGAAACACGCCAGCUCUGGUCCCGCGCAAUCCAACUAUAGCGCCACCUACACAUCAUGUGACAUCAGUGGGCUGCUGUACAAAAGGACGACUGCAGCUGCGCAAUUUCAGUGGGCACGGCGGACCGACUGCGGGCAUGUAGCCUCGCAAGCCUUUCCUCUGCUUCAUGCAGCAAGCUCUAUGCCACCGAUGAGGGACACAGAUAAGCCGGGCCGACCAGGACGCCUUCAGAGACGGGAUCACAAGCGCAGCUGCUGAGCUCGCUGCGCCUUCUAUAUUGUUGAAGAUG